rnacentral:rRNA from 1 species
GAUGAACGCUGGCGGCGUGCUUAACACAUGCAAGUCGAACGAGGUCCAACCUUCGGGUGAAGACCUAGUGGCGAACGGGUGAGUAACACGUGGGGAACCUGCCCUUCUCUCUGGGAUAACGUCGAGAAAUCGGUGCUAAUACCGGAUACUCCUUGCGGAUCGCAUGGUCUGCUCGGGAAAGCUCCGGCGGAGAAGGAUGGCCCCGCGGCCCAUUAGCUAGUUGGUGAGGUAAUGGCCCACCAAGGCGACGAUGGGUAGCCGAGCUGAGAGGUUGAUCGGCCACACUGGGACUGAGACACGGCCCAGACUCCUACGGGAGGCAGCAGUGGGGAAUUUUGCACAAUGGGCGAAAGCCUGAUGCAGCAACGCCGCGUGCGGGAUGAAGGCCCUCGGGUCGUAAACCGCUUUCAGCAGGGAUGAAAUUGACAGUACCUGCAGAAGAAGCCCCGGCUAACUACGUGCCAGCAGCCGCCGUAAUAC